rnacentral:rRNA from 1 species
GAGUUUGAUCAUGGCUCAGAACGAACGCUGGCGGCAUGCCUAACACAUGCAAGUCGAACGAGACCUUCGGGUCUAGUGGCGCACGGGUGCGUAACGCGUGGGAAUCUGCCCUUGGGUUCGGAAUAACAGUUAGAAAUGACUGCUAAUACCGGAUAAUGACGUAAGUCCAAAGAUUUAUCGCCCAAGGAUGAGCCCGCGUAGGAUUAGCUAGUUGGUGAGGUAAAGGCUCACCAAGGCGACGAUCCUUAGCUGGUCUGAGAGGAUGAUCAGCCACACUGGGACUGAGACACGGCCCAGACUCCUACGGGAGGCAGCAGUGGGGAAUAUUGGACAAUGGGCGAAAGCCUGAUCCAGCAAUGCCGCGUGAGUGAUGAAGGCCUUAGGGUUGUAAAGCUCUUUUACCCGGGAUGAUAAUGACAGUACCGGGAGAAUAAGCUCCGGCUAACUCCGUGCCAGCAGCCGCGGUAC